GGGGAUAUAGCUUCAACGGUAGAGCAGCGGACUUCUAAUCUGAUGGUUGUGGGUUCAAAUCCCAUUGUCUCCACCA
rnacentral:tRNA from 9 species